UUAUUUAUAUUUGCGAUACUUACAUUUAUUAUUGUAUAGAUGGCAAGUGAAAAGAGGGGUAAGAAAACAAAGAAGGCUAAGGAGACGGGGGUUCCCCGAGACCACCGAAAAACCUUGCGAUUAGAGAUAGAAGCCCGUCGCCAUGUCUCCCACCACGCGGCGCUCCAUUGCCUCAUGAUCCCCUCAUGAAUGGCAUUGCAUAUAGUCUUCGACCUCCAUACAGCUUUGGUCGGCCCUAUAUGUCUCCACGCCAGGCAUUUACUGAGGUGCCUCCCCAGAGCCCCUCGAUGUCCACACCAGGUUAUGCUACCCCACAGGGCUUCACUCGGUAUACUCCGGGUCUCGCAGGGCUUCGUCUAGUGGUACUCCGACGGCCACUCCUAGCCCGACUGCAUCACAUCACUCUUCAUCAUCUACUGAACAGUAUGAGAUUACGGGUCCUGACCUUCGAGAAAGUUGUUCUGUGCCUCACACUCCUGCUGCGAAUGACUUACCUCGAGGUGUAAGUGCUCCACAGCUUGAAUCUUAUGAUUCAUCAGGGCGACUCAUCAUUGAGCCUGCGGGAUACGGGAAAAAUGUUACUGGCGCCCGGAACAUGAGAAGCAGCUAAGUCAAAACUUCAAGAAGAAAGCUCAGCGCUUACUAUGUGACAUGUUAGGAAGAGUUCGUAAAUCUCACAAGAAGCCUAAGUGGAUCCUUCCUGAAAAUUAUAACAAGCUACUUCAUUACUGGGCAACGAUGAAAGAUUCUUACAGGCGAGUGACAUAGGGAAGAAGGCUAGAAAUUCAACGAAGGGUGGCUCCCUACACACUAGUGGGGCUAUGAGUCAAGAGGCCGUGAGGAGGAAUCUGGCAAGUCUACAUUAACUCUACUUGAAGGAUUGUGAAUUGACUUUUUCUUUAUGUCUUAUCAAUUUAUUAUUUUGCAGGAACUAAAACGGGGGACGCCAGUGCCUCAAGAUGAGGCGUUCAAGAUCACUCACGUGAAGAAGAAGGCAAACGCUAAUGAUCCAGAUCACUGGUGUGAGGAACGGGCUAAGCAGACCUACAAUCAAUAUCAACAUUCAAAGGCGGAGUUUCUUCGUACUCAACCACCCAACACAGAGCUGACACAAGAACAAAUGGAGGAAAGGUGGCUUGAGAGUGUUGGUGGUCCCACUAGGUUUGGCACAGCUUACGGAAUGCCACAUCGUGCAUUUCGUCGAUGCCACCCCUGGAAGGCCUACAUUCUUCCAAUACCGAGUCGUUCGAUAGAGUGAGUGCUAUGGCCAUGGAGCAAAAGAUUGCUGAGCUAUCUAGCCAGCUACAGGCCUCAGAGGAAAGGGAGAGGCGGAGGGACAUGCAGUUUGACGGUAUGAGGGCCCAAUUGGACGCUAUACUUGCUUCGAGGGGGAUUCCCUCGUGUCCUGAUGAUGCUCGUAACCCCCAUACUCAAUCUAGUGGUGCGGCUGAUGAUGGGACUCAUGUGUCAAACACACAAAGGCAUGUUUGAAUGUUAAUGUUGUGGUGGAUUUGUGGAUUUGCGAGGGGUGAACUAGUCUAAUGUUGUAGACUAACUUAGUGUAGACUAGUUUAAUAUUUUGUGGAUGUUUAGGACUCUUGAAGUAGUUUAAUGUUGUUUUGAUGUUUGCGAAGGUUGAAGUAGCUUAAUUAAUGUCUCUUGUGAAUGUUUGAUUGACGUUUUUAUUCAACUUUGAAGUAGUUUCGAAUUGAAUUUGAUGUUUUGGUGGUUGUAAUAUAUGUGUUGUAAUAGUAGCUUAUUGUUUUAUGUAUUUAUAGUAGUUUGGUGUAUUGUUGGCA